rnacentral:misc_RNA from 1 species
AACGCACCUUGCACCCUCUGGUAUUCCGGAGGGUAUGCCUGUCUGAGUGUCAUGUCAAUCAUCAUCCCACCGGGUCCUGCCCGGGGGGGUUGGAAUUGGGUGUUGCCCUUCGGGGCUCGCCUCAAACGCAUCGGCGGCCUUCCCGGCCGGUUGUCUGGCGUAAUACGUUUCGCUGGAUGCACCGGUCGGUGGCCCCCUUGGAACCGCCGCUCACGCGGAAGCAUCGAUUGACCUCAGAUCAGGUAGGACUACCCGCUGAACUUAA